CAGCGUCAGUAUCAAUCCAGGAGGCCGCCUUCGCCACUGGUAUUCCUCCAUAUAUCUACGCAUUUCACCGCUACACAGGAAAUUCUACCCCCCUCUACCGUACUCUAGCCAGACAGUUUUGGAUGCAGUUCCCAGGUUGAGCCCAGGGCUUUCACAUCCAACUUAACAAACCACCUACGCGCGCUUUACGCCCAGUAAUUCCGAUUAACGCUUGCACCCUCCGU
rnacentral:rRNA from 1 species